rnacentral:rRNA from 1 species
GUCCACGCCGUAAACGAUGGAUACUAGCUGUUGGGGUUUACCUCAGUGGCUAAGCGAAAGUGAUAAGUAUCCCACCUGGGGAGUACGUUCGCAAGAAUGAAACUCAAAGGAAUUGACGGGGGCCCGCACAAGCGGUGGAGCAUGUGGUUUAAUUCGAUGAUACGCGAGGAACCUUACCAAGGCUUAAAUGUAGAUUGACAGGACUGGAAACAGUUUUUUCUUCGGACAAUUUACAAGGUGCUGCAUGGUUGUCGU